rnacentral:rRNA from 1 species
UACAGAGGUCUCAAGCGUUGUUCGGAUUCAUUGGGCGUAAAGGGUGCGUAGGUGGCGCCGUAAGUCAGGUGUGAAAUCUCGGGGCUCAACCCCGAAACUGCACUUGAUACUGCGGUGCUCGAGUACUGGAGAGGAGAUUGGAAUUUACGGUGUAGCAGUGAAAUGCGUAGAGAUCAUGAGGAAGACCAGUGGCGAAGGCGGGUCUCUGGACAGUUCCUGACACUGAGGCACGAAGGCCAGGGGAGCAAACGGG